rnacentral:tRNA from 1 species
ACCUGGCUGGCUUAGUAGGUUGAGAAUGUGACUCUUAAUCUUAGGGUUGUGAGUUCAAGCCCCACACUGGGUA